AUUGAACGCUGGCGGCAGGCUUAACACAUGCAAGUCGAGCGGGGUGAUGGUGCUUGCACUAUCACUUAGCGGCGGACGGGUGAGUAAUGCUUAGGAAUCUGCCUAUUAGUGGGGGGCAACAUCUCGAAAGGGAUGCUAAUACCGCAUACGUCCUACGGGAGAAAGCAGGGGAUCACUUGUGACCUUGCGCUAAUAGAUGAGCCUAAGUCGGAUUAGCUAGGUGGUGGGGUAAAGGCCUACCAAGGCGACGAUCUGUAGCGGGUCUGAGAGGAUGAUCCGACACACUGGGACUGAGACACGGCGCAGCCUCCUACGGGAGGCAGCAGUGGGGAAUAUUGGACAGUGGGGGGAACCCUGAUCCAGCCAUGACGCGUGUGUGAAGAAGGCCUUAUGGUUGUAAAGCACUUUAAGCGAGGAGGAGGCUCUUUUGGUUAAUACCCAAGAUGAGUGGACGUUACUCGCAGAAUAAGCACCGGCUAACACUGUGCCAGCAGCCGCAGUAA
rnacentral:rRNA from 1 species